rnacentral:misc_RNA from 1 species
GAUGAAGAACGUAGCGAAAUGCGAUAAGUAAUGUGAAUUGCAGAAUUCAGUGAAUCAUCGAAUCUUUGAACGCACCUUGCACCCUUUGGCAUUCCGAAGGGUAUGCUCGUUUGAGUGUCAUUGUACUCUCACACUCCCACUCUUUUGGAUUGGGAGCGGAGGACUUGGGUGUUGCUGCUUCACUGUGGCUCGCCUCAAAUGGAGUAGUGCAACUCUCGGUUGGACAUAGUACGGCGUGAUAAGUGUCUUCGCCGGCGCCUCACUAGAGGGUGGCCGAUCGGGAGCUCUGUGCUUCAAACCGUCUUCGGACAAUCUCUGACAACUUGACCUCAAAUCGAGUAGGACUACCCGCUGAACUUAAGCAUAUCAAUAAGCGGAGGA